rnacentral:lncRNA from 1 species
CCAUAUGGAUCACAUGUCCCCUCACCCCCUGAAAGUGUAAUAGUCUAGGUUUAUUCUUUUAUUAGUUCACCAUGCAUGCUAACUAAAAAGAUAAAAACAAACGAUAAAAUAAAACAUUUCAAAAGAAACAAAAGGUACUUGAUCCAAUGUCAAGUUGUUUUCCAAAUAAAAUUCACACUAUUGCAACGUGAGUACUUGAUCCAACAUCAAGUAUCUCCCAUCCAUUCCAUAAUCCAUGAUCUACAUCUCUU